AGGACGAACGCUGGCGGCGUGCUUAACACAUGCAAGUCGAGCGGAAAGGCCCUUCGGGGUACUCGAGCGGCGAACGGGUGAGUAACACGUGAGCAACCUGCCCUUAGCUUCGGGAUAGCUCCGGGAAACCGGAAUUAAUACCGAAUAUGACUUUGGCUGACAUCAGCAGAAGUGGAAAGUUUUUCGGCUAGGGAUGGACUCGCGGCCUAUCAGCUAGUUGGUGAGGUAACGCCCACAAGGCGACGACGGGUA
rnacentral:rRNA from 1 species